rnacentral:other from 1 species
GUAACCCUGCUGUGUUUGUGAACCGCCGUAUACAGUUUUGAGCUAACACUUUUAACUCGGGAGCUUGAUCUCUGUCUGUAGCGCAUAAGCCUCCUUUGCAGAGGACAUGUAAAGCUGACAGGAGGGCACCCACCUGUGGAGAGAGCAGUUCAAAACUAACGGUACCUCACGGCAUUGUGGGGUUUUU